rnacentral:lncRNA from 1 species
GUCCAUACAUAUUUAUAGCCAUCUUGAUAUUUUUUCUUUUCAAUAGAGAAAUAACUUGCAGGAUGUUCAUCCGAAGGUUAAAAGUGGCUAUUUUGGAGUAGUGGGAAUUUUUGUGAUUUUCUGUCCAGCGCAAAGUUCAGAGAAGAGGAAAGAAAGGAAGGAACGCAGACAAGCCUGCCGGCGGUGGGGAAUUAACAAGGAUUCCUGUGAAAGGACAUGCCACGACCUAAGUCACGCUAUAGGAACACAGCAGUUUCAGGCAGCGUUUUAGAAAGGAAUACAUGGUUUCUAAAUGCAAUUCAUCUUUUCUGCGUACAAAAUCGUCUCUCAAGCAUUUAACACUUCAAUUGACACAGAAUGAGAAAAAUGGAAUCAUUUUGGAAGCCCAAGAAAGUAAGCCAUAAGAAGGAAAUAUAGUUUUUCUGCUAAUGGCAAAAAGGAUCUCCCGUAGAAUGCAGAUUUUCUCUUAGUCAUCCCCUACCUGAAAAAUGAGCCAUCCUACCCUCCUCCAAGAAGGGAUAACAAGAAAGUAUUACAUGUUAAGUUUAACCAAGAGUUCUAGUUAGAGUUUUUAUUUAAUAUAUCAUGAGCAGAUUUUGGCUUUACCUGCAAUCGUAGGGAAUUUCUACAGAAAUCAGGAAGACAUUUGGAAAGAAAGGCUGUGCAACCCUAGUGAUAUGGAUGUGUCUAGAUCUGGCAUUCCUUUGACUACAAGCAUGAAAUUCUAAGUCGUUUCAAGCUACAAUUUUGGGGGUGCCCGGGUGGCUCAGUGGGUUAAGCAUCUGCCUUCGGCUCAGGUGAUGAUCCCAGAAUCCUGGGAUGGAGCCCCACAUUGGCCUCCCUGCUAAACAGGAAGUCUACUUGUCCCUCUCCCUCUGCCUGUUGCUCCCCCAUCUCCUGUUUGUGUGCUCUCUCUCUUUCACUCUCUCUGUCAUAUAAAUAAAUAAAAUCUUAAAAAAAAAAAAAAAGCUAUGAUUUUGGGGCACUUGGAUGGCUCAGUUGUUUUUGCAUCAGGUCACGAUCUCAGGGUCAUAAGACCGAACCCCAGGGCAGGCUCUGUGCUCAGUGUGGAGUCUGCUUAAAAUUCUCCCUUUCUC